rnacentral:lncRNA from 1 species
AGCCACUUUUUUAACUACAAAAUCAUGAUUUAUCAUAGUACAAAUAUACAAUUGCACUUAAAUUUCCCUAUAGGUUCGCGAAUGUAUCCAAACAAGCUUCGAGGGGCAACUCAACCAACAAAUCAUUACUUUCUAAUUCAUCUUAGGAGGAUAUGGACUGAGGUGAGUUCCAAUAAACUCAAUAAGAGAAAUAUUAUCUAAACUACACUACCAAGAUUUUCAACAGGAUCGAUUGAAAUAUUUACGAAAAUAUUGG